GCCAUGGAUGUGAGCCCCUGCCUCUUUUCUCUUAUGAACAAGUAGUGAUUACCAAGACAUUCUGAAAGUCUAUGAAUGGUGAUUCUAGAAGUGUGGGAAAUAAAGGAAAAUUCCUAUAAAUAUUGUAAAAUAAAGUUUCCCACUUCAUCAUGAAUCGACUUGUGAUGGACUUGCCAUAGAGCAGAUGGCUGGUCCUUCAUGGAACGGUGUAAGAGAUGGGUGCUCAGAAUUGGUCUCAUCUUUAAAACUUAUCAACCUCAGAUGAUGUCACAGUAUGAAGCUGUAGGGCAAAGAAACUACAAUACCACUGGACCGAAGAGACAGACACUGCAUUUCCAGGAUUCCUUUCUCUUGAAACUCCCUUCAACUGAGGCCAAAUCACUUGUGCACAGACACGGUCAACCCACAAUGUCAUAUUUUCCGGGAGACACCAGUGUCUGUGCUGGGGUUCGAAUGAAUGAGGAUUCGGCUGAACCGUUUUGUCUCUGCAGGUGGCAGGGCUGCGGGGAACUGAAAUAGCCCGAUCAAAGGAUGAAACGCAGUUCACCUCUGGGACUUGCAACCAGCAUUGCUUUCAUUCAGAUGUAGGAAUUCAAGGGGGCCUGGAGCCCCAGGCACCUACCGAAUAGGAAUUGGUCACUUAGUCCCGGAAGGCCUGCCAAGGCCAAGGCCAAAUCACCAAGGAAUGAACCAGAAGCAAAUUCACAUGGGCUUCCCAGCCCACCCUUUCCCCCUGGGCCUUCACAGCAGGUCUUGGUGAGAAACCCUGUUUUGCAGAUGCCUUGAUGGAGGUGGAUGGGAUCUGACGUAUCAAGGGAUUAUGUAUCCUGUCCUAAAUUCAGGAAAAGAUCUCCUCUCCAUCAAGAUUGAAAAUAGUUUUGUUAAAGGGAAACUCAGAAACGUUAUGGAAAGACAGAUGAAGAAGGAGCAGAGGGGCACCUGGGGGGGUUGAGCGGCUGCCUUUGGCUCAGGGCGUGAACCCAGGGUCCUGGGAUUGAGUCUCACAUGGGGCUCCCCGCAGGGAGCCUGCUUCUCCCUCUGCCUGGGUCUCUGCCUCUCUCUCUGUGUCUCUCAUGAAUAAAUAAAUAAAAUAUAAAAAAAAUAAAAUAAAA
rnacentral:lncRNA from 12 species